GGGGGGGGGCGGCGGGCGUGCGUGCGUGCGGCCCCUGCCCUGACAGCAGUGAGUGGCGUGCAGUAACAGCGGGGAGGAAGGUGCACAUCGGGAUCCUGCAGCAUGAAACAAGAACCCCUUCGGAGCGCAGCAGGCCACACUGAAAAGGGUGCAUACCCGGUGCGGUGCUCUGCAUCCCGGGUGGUGCCGAAGAUGUGGAGUGUCGGAGGUGGCAGAAGCGCCGCAGCUUGGGCAUCCUCUGGAUAACUCUGGUUGAAUUGUCUUAACAAUCAAGGGAGUUUUCUUCUGCUUUGCGUGAAUUGACUUCUGGGCCUUUAUCCUGCCAUAGUCUGAAAUAUUACUGUGGUGAAAAUAAAGUAUUCUUUCCACAAACUCUUCGGGUUUGUCAACUGGAACAGAAUCUGGAAAGGGCAAGUAUGGGUACACGGAAACAGUGAAGAAACAAGAAAAAUGUUGGUGAAGCUGGUAGUUGAAGAGCCAAGUUGGAAGACAACCGGAUUAACCAUUGCCAACAUUUUAAAAAAGGACUAUGAAUUUGAUCAGGGGUAGGUAUGCUCGGUUUAAGAUUUUAAGCAAGGAGCCAAACUCCACCAUUAAUUUUGAUUGCAUUGAUUAGAAACUGCAUCAUCGGAUGAUGUAUAAAAACAUCUUUUCAGAAUGAACCCCAUGGAUGAGGGGAGGACUGGACAAAUGUUAAAUUCUGGUGGUCUGUCAACACCUUCUUUUUGUAUA